rnacentral:lncRNA from 1 species
AUUCACCCAACCCAAACCUCACGUCCAGCCCAAUAAACCAAACCACCUGCUAACCCGCCCCUACCCUGUCCACCCUGCCCAUAACCAAGUGACUCCCCUUUCAAUCUCCUUCCUCAUUUUUCUAGUACCUAGCUGCCACACCUUAAAGAACCCUAACCUAGAUCCCUCUUCUUCAUUGCUUCUUCAGCCAUCAACACAGCCAAAGGACCACCCUAAAUCACCAGAAUCAGCUGCAACUCCAAAGAACAAUCAGACCCUCAACGCCUUCUUCUCCUUUAGAUCUGCGAAAGAACGUGGCAACCAAAGACAAGACCACCAUACCCCCUCAACUACACGCAAAGAACGUGAACACCACAUAUCUCACACUACCUGGAACUCGCCAAAAAUAGCAGCAGUGCCAUCUCUUUACCGUCGGAAUUAGGUGAGAAGAAACCCAGUCACUGCUUCUGCUUUCUCCCCAUUCACAACAGCUUGCACAGAAUCACAACACACACACACACACAAGAACAAACUAAAACAAGAGAAAAUCGGUGCAGUAAACCGAUCGAAGAAAAGUGAGUGAUUUGAGAUAAGUUCUUCGAUCAAUGGGGAAUUGUUGAAUUCUCGCUCAAGUUCCGGUCCGUUAUUCUAGUUCGAUGUUGUUGAUUUCGUUUGAAGUCGUUUCUAUGUGCAGUUGUAAUUGUUGUUUCAUUUCGGUUAAUUGAAGCUAUAACUUCAGAUUUGUUUUUCUUUUAUUACUUGCUUUGAUAUUGAAUUUUAAUGUGAAUGAGUGCCUUGUUUGCUUAGUCUCAAUGUGCUCAAAUGGAUUCCAAUUUUAUUUGUGUUUGCAUAGAUCUCUUGGAGUGUUCUUGGUGUCACCUUUAGGCUUAGACCUGCUUUAAACCUGUUUAAUCCAGUGUGGUUAUUGUAUGAAGGAUUAGUGAUGUGCUCGUC